AAUACCGCAUAACAACAAAAGCCACAUGGCUUUGUUUUGAAAGAUGGCUUUGGCUAUCACUCUGGGAUGGACCUGCGGUGCAUUAGCUAGUUGGUAAGGUAACGGCUUACCAAGGCAAUGAUGCAUAGCCGAGUUGAGAGACUGAUCGGCCACAUUGGGACUGAGACACGGCCCAAACUCCUACGGGAGGCAGCAGUAGGGAAUCUUCCACAAUGGACGAAAGUCUGAUGGAGCAACGCCGCGUGAGUGAAGAAGGGUUUCGGCUCGUAAAGCUCUGUUGGUAGUGAAGAAAGAUAGAGGUAGUAACUGGCCUUUAUUUGACGGUAAUUACUUAGAAAGUCACGGCUAACUACGUGCCAGCAGCCGCGGUAAUACGUAGGUGGCAAGCGUUGUCCGGAUUUAUUGGGCGUAAAGCGAGUGCAGGCGGUUCAAUAAGUCUGAUGUGAAAGCCUUCGGCUCAACCGGAGAAUUGCAUCAGAAACUGUUGAACUUGAGUGCAGAAGAGGAGAGUGGAACUCCAUGUGUAGCGGUGGAAUGCGUAGAUAUAUGGAAGAACACCAGUGGCGAAGGCGGCUCUCUGGUCUGCAACUGACGCUGAGGCUCGAAAGCAUGGGUAGCGAACAGGAUUAGAUACCCUGGUAGUCCAUGCCGUAAACGAUGAGUGCUAAGUGUUGGGAGGUUUCCGCCUCUCAGUGCUGCAGCUAACGCAUUAAGCACUCCGCCUGGGGAGUACGACCGCAAGGUUGAAACUCAAAGGAAUUGACGGGGGCCCGCACAAGCGGUGGAGCAUGUGGUUUAAUUCGAAGCAACGCGAAGAACCUUACCAGGUCUUGACAUCCAGUGCAAACCUAAGAGAUUAGGUGUUCCCUUCGGGGACGCUGAGACAGGUGGUGCAUGGCUGUCGUCAGCUCGUGUCGUGAGAUGUUGGGUUAAGUCCCGCAACGAGCGCAACCCUUGUCAUUAGUUGCCAUCAUUAAGUUGGGCACUCUAAUGAGACUGCCGGUGACAAACCGGAGGAAGGUGGGGAUGACGUCAAGUCAUCAUGCCCCUUAUGACCUGGGCUACACACGUGCUACAAUGGACGGUACAACGAGAAGCGAACCUGCGAAGGCAAGCGGAUCUCUUAAAGCUGUUCUCAGUUCGGACUGUAGGCUGCAACUCGCCUACACGAAGCUGGAUUCGCUAGUAAUCGCGGAUCAGCACGCCGCGGUGAAUACGAAGCCGGGCCUUGCACACACCGCCCGUCA
rnacentral:rRNA from 1 species